GGGACUCACGGGAAGAUAUCACAACACAACUCUACAAAUAAAAUAAGUCAUACAAGCAUCAUAUUACAAGCCAGAGGCCUCGUAGGCUCGAAUACAAGAGCUCGAUCAUAGACGAGUCAGCGGAAGCAAUAAUAUCUGAGUAUAGACAAGUUAAACAAGUUUGCCUUAAGAAGGCUAGCACAAACGGGGAUACAGAUCGAAAAAGGCGCAGGCCUCCUGCCUGGGAUCCUUCUAACUACUCCUGGUCGCCGUCAGCAGGCUGCACGUAGUAGUAGGCUCCUUCCGAGUAGUACUAGUAGUCGUCGACGGUGGUGUCUGGCUCCUGGGCUCCAACGUCUGGUUGCGACAACCAGGUAGAAGGGAAAGGGGAAAAGAGGGAGAAAGCAACCGUGAGUACUCAUCCAAAGUACUCGCAAGCAAGGAGCUACACUACAUAUGUAUGCAUUGGUAUCAAAGGGAAUAAGGGUAUCAUAUGUGGACUGAACUGCAGAAUGCCGGAAUAAGAGGGGGAUAGCUAGUCUUAUCGAAGACUACGCUUCUGGUAACCUCCAUCUUGCAGCAGGAGAAGAGAGUAGAUGGUAAGUUCACCAAGUAGCAUCGCAUGGCAUAAUCCUAACCGAUGAUCCUCCCCUCGUCGCCCUGUGAGAGAGCGAUUACCGGUUGUAUCUGGCACUUGGAAGGGUGUGUUUUAUUAAGUAUCCGGUUCUAGUUGUCAUAAGGUCAAGGUACAACUCCAAGUUGUCAUGUUACCGAAGAUCACGGCUAUUCGAAUAGAUUAACUUCCCUGCAGGGAUGCACCACAUAAUCCAACACGCUCGAUCCCAUUUGGCCGGUCACACUUUCCUGGGUCAUGCCCGGCCUCGGAAGAUCAACACGUCGCAACCCUACCUAGGCACAACAGAGAGGUCAGCACGCCGGUCUAAAUCCUAUGGCGCAGGGGUCUGGGCCCAUCGCCCUUUGCACACCUGCACGUUGCGAACGCGGCCGGAAGCAGAACUAGCCCCUUUAAUACAAGAGCAGGCUUACGUUCCAAUCCGGCGCGCGCCGCUCAGUCGCUGACAUCGCGAAGGCUUCGGCUGAUACCACGACGUCGAGUGCCCAUAACUGUCCCCGCGUAGAUGGUUAGUGCAUAUAGGCCAGUAGCCAGACUCAGAUCAAAUAUCAAGAUCUCGUUAAACGUGUUAUUUUGAAAUAACCGCGAACGCCGACCAGGGCCAGGCCCACCUCUCUCCUAGGUGGUCUCAACCUGCCCUGUCGCUUCGCCACAAAGAUCCGCUCAAAGGGCCGUCGGGACAAACGUCCUUUCGGACCCAAUCCGUGGAUCACUCGCGGGUACUCCUACGAGCCGACCCGUCUUUAGUCACCACAAGUAUCAUAUAUUAUGUAUAUAAGUAUAUACCCGUGAUCAACUCCCGAGUGAUCACGGCCCGAUAGUAUAGCAUGGCAGACGGACAAGAAUGUAUGGCCACUGAUGAUUAAACUAGCAUCCUAUACUAAGCAUUUAGGAUUGCACGUAAGGUAUCAACAGUUAUAGCAACAAUGACAGGCUAUGCAUCAGGAUAGGAUUAACGAAAAGCAGUAACAUGCUACACUACUCUAAUGCAAGCAGUAUAGAGGAGAGUAGGCGAUAUCUGGUGAUAAGGGGGGGCUUGCCUGGUUGCUCUGACAAGAGAGAGGGGUCGUCUUCAAUGUAGUCGAACACACGGACAUCGGCAGCGGUCUCAGAGUCUACCGGAAAUAAGUAACGAAGGGGGAACAUAAUAAAUAACAGAGCAAUCAAAUGUAACACAAAGCAAGACGCGGCAAUACGUUGUGCUAGAGGUGACGUAACGCAGGGAUAGGUGAUACCGGCGAAGGGGGGAAACAUCCGGGAAGUAUUCCUGAUGUUUUGCGUUUUCGGACAGAUACACCGGAGGGGAAAAGUUGCUUGUUUGCUAUGCUAGAGAUGUGUGGCGGACGAACGGGCUGCGUAUUUGGAUUCGUCUCGUCGUUCUAAGCAUCUUUCAUGUAUAAAGUUUUUCCAUCCGAGUUAUCGAUUAUUUUAUAUUAAUUUUCAACGUUUUAAUCAUUUUUUGAAUUUUCUAUGUUUAUUUUUAAUACGAAAUACUAAAUGGCUGAUAUGCUAAGUACACACAGGUCAGUACCCUCCAAAGGCAGACAAGUGGGGCCCCUCAACAGUCAAGUUUUGACUGGUCAAUAGUGUCAGUUGGGACCCGGUUGUCAUUGACUUAGCUAGUUAAACCUUAUCCAUUAAAAUAGUGUAUGGGUCCCACGUGUCAUUUGCACAUAAUUUUAACUAGGGUUUAUUUAGUGGUGGGGACUAACAGAGGGUGUUUUGUGCUAGGUUUAGAGCUAAUCAACAAAUAGGCCCCUAAUCUAAUCUGGGAUGGCCCAUCCAUUGUGUGGCUGUACAUCACGCACAAGAACACACACGCACAUGGCCAUGGCGUGGCCAAGAUGUGUGAGCAGCCGCAGGGGAAAGUAGCAGUGGCCGUGGCCAAGCAGCAGCGGCUGCACGCGGCGCUGGCCGGCGCGGUCGGCGAGCAGGGCAAGGGCGCUGGGGGCGAGCAGCAGGCGAGUGCAGGUGUGCGCGGGUGCGGCCGACUGCAGCAACAGCGCAUCGGCGAGGCAACGCGCGGGGCCGCGGGGUGGACAGCAGGGGCGCGGGGCGGUAGCGGGCAAUGUCAGGCGGCAGGCACGCAGCAGCAGUCAGCGACGAGGCGGCAAGCGAGCGCGGUAGUGGGAGCGGUGGUAGCAAGCGGAGCAUAUCGAUAGUAGGCGGCGGCACGAGCAACAUCAGCUAGUAUGCACGUACGCGUACGCGGGAGCUCGGACGAGCUUAAGAAGAUGCAGGGGAGGAAGUGGGGCUCACAUCGGAGCUCAAGGAGGACUCGGGAUGCCGGAGCUGCUCGAAGAUGGGCGAAUCGAAGACGAACAGAAGCGGUUGUCGACGGAGGGGAUCGACGUAUGCGGCGCCGUCUUGUCGAUCCGGGUCGAGGCAGUCCACUUCGGGGUUGAGGACGAUGGCCCGCGUCUUCUGGAUACAAAGGCUUGGCAGGGGAGUGGUCGAGGCCACGACAACGGCGACGACACGGCGACGACAACAGGCGGACGAGCUCGGGAGGGAGAGAGAGCGUGGGGGCGGGGAUUGGGGCGC
rnacentral:lncRNA from 1 species